rnacentral:rRNA from 1 species
UACGUAGGUGGCAAGCGUUGUUCGGAAUUAUUGGGCGUAAAGGGCGCGUAGGCGGUUUGCUAAGUCAGUUGUGAAAGCCCGGGGCUCACCCCCGGAAGUGCAUUGGAAACUGGUGGACUCGAGUCCCGGAGAGGAGAGUGGAAUUCCUGGUGUAGCGGUGAAAUGCGUAGAUAUCAGGAGGAAUACCGGUGGCGAAGGCGGCAUCCUGGACCGACAUUGACGCUGAGGAGCGAAAGCUAGGGGAGCAAACGGG